ACCUGUUCUUGCUUCUUUUACUUCAUUUCAUUCAAUGCCUCCACCCAACUCUCACAGUCCAUGGCCUGAUCUAUUCACCUUCUGAGCUCUCACUAAACCCACCUCAAGUAGCGGCAGCAGCAGAAGCAAUGGCGAGGUUUCUUCUUCUUGCACUUGUGCUCGCUUCAGCCCUUGUCUUCCUUUCCUUCCCUGCAGGACUAGGGAGAAGGGUGCACGUCAUGAGGCAUUACGAGACAUGGAAUUCUCCUGCCCCGUUUGAUACUGAAGAGACAAGGAUAGGGAGAAAUAUGAUGGAGACGGAGAUGGACUACCGGGAUCCAGGAGCCAAUACAAACCCCAGGAACGGAGCACUGUUCAACAACCUCACACCACCUCCUGUCCAUUAGCUGUUCCACAUUUCUUCAGUAGAUCUGCUCUCUCUCUCUCUCUCUCUCUCUCUCUCUCUCUUCAGAGAUGUGAUCUCUUCUUUCUCUCUUCCCUCAACAAUAAUUUUGUGUGUGACGUACUCAGUGAUGCCUUCAUCACAAUAUCCAGUGGUUUAAUCUGUGUGUUUCUGCUACUUCGAUCUUGUAAA